UACGGAGGGUGCAAGCGUUAAUCGGAAUUACUGGGCGUAAAGAGAGUGCAGGCGGUCUGUCAAGUCGGAUGUGAAAUCCCCGGGCUCAACCUGGGAACUGCAUCUGAUACUGGCAAGCUUGAGUCUCGUAGAGGGGGGUAGAAUUCCAGGUGUAGCGGUGAAAUGCGUAGAGAUCUGGAGGAAUACCGGUGGCGAAGGCGGCCCCCUGGACAAAGACUGACGCUCAGGUGCGAAAGAGUGGGGAGCAA
rnacentral:rRNA from 1 species